rnacentral:rRNA from 1 species
GACGAACGCUGGCGGCGUGCUUAACACAUGCAAGUCGAACGGGUCUGCCCUGUUUUUUGCGGGGUGGGUCAGUGGCGAACGGGUGAGUAACACGUGAGUAACCUGCCCCUCACUUCUGGAUAACCGCUUGAAAGGGUGGCUAAUACGGGGUGUUCUGGCUGUGCCGCAUGGUGUGGCUGGGAAAGAUUCACUUUUGUGGUGUUUUGGUGGGGGAUGGGCUCGCGGCCUAUCAGCUUGUUGGUGGGGUGAUGGCCUGCCAAGGCUUUGACGGGUAGCCGGCCUGGGGGGGUGGGCGGUCACACUGGGAAUGAGAGACGGCCCAGACUCCUGCGGGAGGCAGCAGGGGGGGGUAUUGCACAAUGGGCGGAAGGCUGAUGCAGCGACGUCGCGUGAGGGAUGGAGGCCUUCGGGUUGUGAACCUCUUUCGCCGGUGAAGAAGGUCCUGCUCUUUGUGGUGGGGUUGACGGUAGCCGGGUUAUGAAGCGCCGGCUAACUACGUG